CACCACGUCUGGACAAGCCAACACGUAGCGCAAGAAUCAUUAGAUCCAUGCCCACUAUAUGUUCCGUAUACAAGAUACCAAGCAAUGCACAAUGCGCCACAAUGUCGAAGCAUGUGCUUCAAAAAGGUGGAUCAAAGAGAUCGCAUUAGGGUUCACCUCACGUCGCAAAAGCAACGCUAGAUGAAAUGAAAUUUUGAUCUAUCCAACCGAUACCAUUGAGUAGGUAUUCAGCACAGUAAACCCACAAGACGCUCAAGGCGAUACAAGACUUGCCGCAUAACUGAAGAGGUAUGAAAGCAUGGAAGUUAUUACAAGUGCCACAACCAACCACACGUAACAAACCAAACACCACUCAUGCACCUUUACGAUAAGCACCCCCGAAGCCACCCCAACUAGAAGCCACCCAUUCGGCUCAGA
rnacentral:misc_RNA from 1 species